rnacentral:misc_RNA from 1 species
ACCUGCUUUCAUUAGAUAUCCACUACAGGAAGCCAUGAUGAAGGACACAUUAGAACGUGCAAGGGAGCCCAACCUGAACUUGAAAAGCUUCCUUCAGAAUGCAUAUAUCCACCCAGUCUUCAAAGGUGGAGAUGACAGUGACUACGAGGAAGCUACAAAAGAGGGGGAGAAAGAACCUGCGUUGGUCCUAACGAAGCGCCAGUCUCGAAGGAACACACCAUUGGCUAGUAAACGUAGCCGUUCAUUUUCAU